rnacentral:rRNA from 3 species
CUGCAACUGUUUAUUAAAAACACAGCACUGUGCAAACACGAAAGUGGACGUAUACGGUGUGACGCCUGCCCGGUGCCGGAAGGUUAAUUGAUGGGGUCAGCGCAAGCGAAGCUCCUGAUCGAAGCCCCGGUAAACGGCGGCCGUAACUAUAACGGUCCUAAGGUAGCGAAAUUCCUUGUCGGGUAAGUUCCGACCUGCACGAAUGGCGUAAUGAUGGCCAGGCUGUCUCCACCCGAGACUCAGUGAAAUUGAACUCGCUGUGAAGAUGCAGUGUACCCGCGGCAAGACGGAAAGACCCCGUGAACCUUUACUAUAGCUUGACACUGAACAUUGAGCCUUGAUGUGUAGGAUAGGUGGGAGGCUUUGAAGUGUGGACGCCAGUCUGCAUGGAGCCGACCUUGAAAUACCACCCUUUAAUGUUUGAUGUUCUAACGUGGACCCGUGAUCCGGGUUGCGGACAGUGUCUGGUGGGUAGUUUGACUGGGGCGGUCUCCUCCUAAAGAGUAACGGAGGAGCACGAAGGUUGGCUAAUCCUGGUCGGACAUCAGGAGGUUAGUGCAAUGGCAUAAGCCAGCUUGACUGCGAGCGUGACGGCGCGAGCAGGUGCGAAAGCAGGUCAUAGUGAUCCGGUGGUUCUGAAUGGAAGGGCCAUCGCUCAACGGAUAAAAGGUACUCCGGGGAUAACAGGCUGAUACCGCCCAAGAGUUCAUAUCGACGGCGGUGUUUGGCACCUCGAUGUCGGCUCAUCACAUCCUGGGGCUGAAGUAGGUCCCAAGGGUAUGGCUGUUCGCCAUUUAAAGUGGUACGCGAGCUGGGUUUAGAACGUCGUGAGACAGUUCGGUCCCUAUCUGCCGUGGGCGCUGGAGAACUGAGGGGGGCUGCUCCUAGUACGAGAGGACCGGAGUGGACGCAUCACUGGUGUUCGGGUUGUCAUGCCAAUGGCACUGCCCGGUAGCUAAAUGCGGAAGAGAUAAGUGCUGAAAGCAUCUAAGCACGAAACUUGCCCCGAGAUGAGUUCUCCCUGAGACUUUAGGUCUCCUGAAGGAACGUUGAAGACGACGACGUUGAUAGGCCGGGUGUGUAAGCGCAGCGAUGCGUUGAGCUAACCGGUACUAAUGAACCGUGAGGCUUAACCUUACAACGCCGAAG